CAAACAUCCUCGUCACUUAUCACGCCUGCCAGGGAGAUCCCAAUACCCACACCCUAUAUAAAAAAAAAGAAUAAAACUGACAGCCUCACUGGCGGUUGAAUCAUUAGCUGUCUAAUGCAGAGCAAAUCGCUAUACGCUAAUACCACUCGUUACCUUUCCCUUAGGAUAAUUUAUUUACAGCGGUUUGAGAAAGAACGCAACCUAUUUCCCGUAUGUAACGUCAGCUGUCAGGUCCCUGCGCGGAAGGGCAGCCAACCUUUUAAAUCUGGGUUGCCAAACUUCGUAAAGUGUCCAACUUCGGAAUAAUUUCCACGAAGCAAAAUUGAUAAAACUAAUUGCAGCAAGACAUUGAGCCUCUUUCCGUUCUAGACUAUUCAGAUAAUAGUAGUGCGCGUCGUGUAUCUCAAACAGUAGUGUAAAAGUUAAAAAAUUAACAAUAAGUAAGGUGUAUAAUAGUGUUAUGUGUUUUCUCUUUUAGAUUCUAUAAAAUACUGAAAAAGUUAAGCCUAAUAGUACGGAAAGUUUAAAUUAGUACGGUUGUUCGUAGAAAGUACGCUUCACAAUAGACCCAUAAAAAAACGGGAAUUGUAAAGAACAAAUAGAACAGUAUAAAGAAAAGGUCCAGAUCUGGGCCUUUUCUUUCCAUUUUUCCUUCGGUUUGAAAUCCCGGAGGUAUUCUUCUCUGUAUCCACAGUUUCCUGGACCAGCCAAGCCGUAAAGAGAGUGAGCAAACACCGUGCGGUAGUGGAACCUACCCCCCCCCCCUCCGAUACCCAUCACCCGGCGGCGCCCAUUUUGGAAAUAAACGUCUUCAGGACCAAGUCGCCACCUACCAGGUCCCCGGCGGCCAUUUUGACGACUAAAAUCAACCAAUUAAGGGAUCGGACACACCACGUUUUGCUCCUCGAGUCUGGAUACCGGGCUGGUACCAGUGAAAGCCUUCUCGACGGUGAACCAUCGUCACAAACUGGAUUUUGGUUCGAAUCGGACUUGCUAGAGGCUCCAGGAACCUUCGAACAACCCUGGCCCAGCGAUCGUACACCCAGCUACGCCCUUUGUACCGGUUUGGAAUCGGUGACUGGAUGCAAAUCACCAGCCUGCCCCCACCACAAGCAAGCCUUCAUCUGCAACGCCAUCGACCAUUCCACGCUGUCGUCCACCAAACCCAGGUUCUCGCCGGCAACGUCGUCGGCCUAUCCACGCCGACAACCGCUGCAGCCAAGCUCUCGCCGGCAACGCCGUCGGCCUAUCCACGCCGCCAGCCACAGCAAUCAAGCUUUCGCCAUCAACCGCCGCAAUCAAACCCUCGCCAGCAUCGCUAUCGACCAAACCUCGUCGUCAACCGUCGCGACCAAGCCCUCGCCGGCAAUGCAAUCGGGCCAUCCUCGCCGUCAGCCGCCGCCAUUAAGGACUUGCCGGUAAGCAAAGCCAUCGCCCUCUCCUUGUCGUCGAGCACCGAGGUCAAGCAUUCGCCAGCAACGUCAGCCUGUCAGCACUCGCCGAAGAUCACCACUCCGCAUGCAUGCCACCGUCCACCAAGCUAGCCAACGAACACCACCACCCAGAAAGCGCAAGUACACCUAUUCCAAUGUAUGUCUCUCUCUCUAGGGCCCAGUAGAGGCCAA